GACGUAGGGCGCGAGCGUUGUCCGGAUUUAUUGGGCGUAAAGAGCUCGUAGGCGGCUUGUCGCGUCGCUCCGUGAAAACCUGCGGCUCAACUGCAGGCUGGCGGUCGAUACGGGCAGGCUGGAGUUCGGUAGGGGAGACUGGAAUUCCUGGUGUAGCGGUGAAAUGCGUAGAUAUCAGGAGGAACACCGGUGGUGUAGACGGCUCUCUGGACCGUAACUGACGCUGAGACACGAAAGCGUGGGUAGCAAACAGG
rnacentral:rRNA from 1 species